rnacentral:rRNA from 1 species
ACGGGUGAGUAACGCGUGGGAAUCUACCCAUCUCUACGGAACAACUCCGGGAAACUGGAGCUAAUACCGUAUACGUCCUUUUGGAGAAAGAUUUAUCGGAGAUGGAUGAGCCCGCGUUGGAUUAGCUAGUUGGUGGGGUAACGGCCUACCAAGGCGACGAUCCAUAGCUGGUCUGAGAGGAUGAUCAGCCACACUGGGACUGAGACACGGCCCAGACUCCUACGGGAGGCAGCAGUGGGGAAUAUUGGACAAUGGGCGCAAGCCUGAUCCAGCCAUGCCGCGUGAGUGAUGAAGGCCCUAGGGUUGUAAAGCUCUUUCAACGGUGAAGAUAAUGACGGUAACCGUAGAAGAAGCCCCGGCUAACUUCGUGCCAGCAGCCGCGGUAAUACGAAGGGGGCUAGCGUUGUUCGGAAUUACUGGGCGUAAAGCGCACGUAGGCGGAUACUUAAGUCAGGGGUGAAAUCCCGGGGCUCAACCCCGGGACUGCCUUUGAUACUGGGUAUCUCGAGUCCGGAAGAGGUGAGUGGAAUUCCGAGUGUAGAGGUGAAAUUCGUAGA